UGGGGAAUAUUGGGCAAUGGGGGAAACCCUGACCCAGCAACGCCGCGUGAAGGAAGAAGGCUUUCGGGUUGCAAACUUCUUUUACCAGGGACGAAGGACGUGACGGUACCUGGAGAAAAAGCAACGGCUAACUACGUGCCAGCAGCCGCGGUAAUACGUAGGUUGCAAGCGUUGUCCGGAUUUACUGGGUGUAAAGGGCGUGUAGGCGGAGAAGCAAGUUGGGAGUGAAAUCCAUGGGCUCAACCCAUGAACUGCUCUCAAAACUGUUUCCCUUGAGUAUCGGAGAGGCAAGCGGAAUUCCUAGUGUAGCGGUGAAAUGCGUAGAUAUUAGGAGGAACACCAGUGGCGAAGGCGGCUUGCUGGACGACAACUGACGCUGAGGCGCGAAAGCGUGGGGAGCAAACAGGAUUAGAUACCC
rnacentral:rRNA from 1 species